CGGCACGUAGCGCAGUCUGGUAGCGCACCGUCAUGGGGUGUCGGGGGUCGGAGGUUCAAAUCCUCUCGUGCCGACCA
rnacentral:tRNA from 8 species